GGAAAUGGGCUUUUUGGACAUUCAUUCCAGGCCUGAUCAGAAAAGUGCCGCAGACAUUGUUCUGGUGUACUGCUGCCAAGAUGAAGUGGGUGUAUGGUGUGGUCCUUACAGCUGUCCUAGUGGCUUUUCAAAUUUCAUCUCAGGUGGUCUGGGCACGAGUUGAUCCAAAUAUGCCUACUACCAGCAGUAUUGCCCCACCUACUGAAGGGACAAACUUAACCAAUGUUCCUCCAACUGCUGACAGCUCGGUCUCUGCCAAUGUCACCCCAACUGUUGGCAGUACUGCAUCGGUGACUAAUUCUACCUUCAACUCUACCUCUGGAAGUACUCCUGGGAGGACUACAGGCAAUCCUUUGCUGCUUCUCGCUUUGCUCUUGGUGGUUCCUGUUUAUGCUUGGUACCACUAAAGUGGCUGGACUGGACUCUGUCAGUUUAAGUUGCAGCUCUUCAAAGCUGGAUAAGCUUGAGCACACUUGGAUUUCCACUUUCUAACUUGUGUUGGGUUUUCAGUGUAUACACCAAACUAGUCCCCUUCUAAUGUCCUGGUUAAACUUGUAUCAUGGAAGUUAUGUGGGAGGGAGGUGAUAUGUGAAAUUGUACUGGCUACAAGAUUUAACUGAUUCUUGGGAAGCUUUGUUUUGAAAUGCUUCAUUUGAUAACCUUUGUAUAUUUAUAAGAAUUUCUGACUUUUAGACUGACUGAAUAAAGCUGUACAUUGAAAAAUGUCUAACUUGAGUCCUUGGUAACUGCAGUAGAGUCUAGAUUAGAGAAAUUAAUGACUGAAGGCUGUGGCUUUGCCAUCCAUUAGCUUUGCUUUGAGUUUUGUCUUCCAAUUUAAUGACUACUUUACAUUGGACACCAGUAAAGCAGCUUUGAAAUGGCCUCAAGCUAAAGUGGUUUCCUCUUAGUAGUCAGACCAUUGAAUAGCUGUGAAUUGACUUGAACUUUAGUGUCAAACAGUGCAGGUCCAACUAUUCUUUGCACCCAUUUAUCCUUGCAGGCUUAUCAAUGUUGUGACUCGCCAUUGGGAAGUUUUUUUGUUUUUGUUUUUUUUUAAACAUGGCCUUCCAUAGAAGUUGAAUAUGUGUUUGGACAUACGUUCUCUACAAAAUAUCUCCAUGGACUAAGCCUGUGAAGUAGACAAACCUUGAACGCAGCAUGGUUGUGUUGACGAUGAUGGUGCUGAUGUCACUUGCAGUAUAAAAAGCUCAGCAGCAUCUCCUGUUUGAAUCACUUACGCGCAAUCUGUGAACUCUACCUGAACGUCAACCAGCAAGAUGAAUAAACUGUCCGUCGCCUUGCUGUCAGCUCUUCUGCUGGCUUUUUGCAUCUCAUCCCAGAUGGUCCAGGCCAACAACACCACCACCACCAAAGCCCCUGUUGCACCUAACACCGCCAGCAUGAGUGGAAUGACCACCGCCAUCCCGCUGCUCCUGCUCCCUUUGACUUUAGCGGCGGUCCUCCUUCACGACUGGUCCUGGGGUUGGGACUAACUCCACCCGUCCUGUGGACCCAGAUGGACAGGGGAUGCAAAAGUCUACCGUCUCAUGAUGAAGUUCCCUAAAGAACUUUUUUUUUUUCAUCCGUUUUACGCACCAAAGCAGGACUCGCCCUUUUCUUCUCUCUUUUCUUCUCUGCACGUCCUGGUCCUUGCUGGGUGUCUUAUGAGCUAUAAAUCGGGAAAAAUACUAAAUCUGUGUAGAAAUGUUUGUGGGUGUGGGAGAAAAUGCAUCUGUUAGGAGGAUUUUUAAAAUGAAAGUAGUUCUGAUCAACUUCACUGCAAAUAUUUGUGUCUAUUUAAGUGCUGUGAAACUUGAAGUAAAUAAAGGUGUAAAAUGUC